rnacentral:rRNA from 1 species
ACAGCAGCCGCCGCGGUAAGACAGAGGAUGCAAGCGUUAUCCGGAAUGAUUGGGCGUAAAGCGUGCGUAGGCGGCUUCUUAAGUCGGAUGUGAAAUCCCUGAGCUUAACUUAGGAAUUGCAUUCGAUACUGGGAAGCUAGAGUAUGGGAGAGGAUGGUAGAAUUCCAGGUGUAGCGGUGAAAUGCGUAGAGAUCUGGAGGAAUACCGAUGGCGAAGGCAGCCAUCUGGCCUAAUACUGACGCUGAGGUACGAAAGCAUGGGGAGCAAACAGGAUUAGAUACCCCAGUAGUCCCUGUCUCUUAUAA